ACGAACGCUGGCGGCGUGCCUAAUACAUGCAAGUCGAACGCACUCUCGUUUAGAUUGAAGGAGUUUGCUCCUGAUUGAUAAACAUUUGAGUGAGUGGCGGACGGGUGAGUAACACGUGGGUAACCUGCCCUAAAGUGGGGGAUAACAUUUGGAAACAGAUGCUAAUACCGCAUAAAACCUAACACCGCAUGGUGUAGGGUUGAAAGAUGGUUUCGGCUAUCACUUUAGGAUGGACCCGCGGUGCAUUAGUUAGUUGGUGAGGUAAAGGCUCACCAAGACCGUGAUGCAUAGCCGACCUGAGAGGGUAAUCGGCCACACUGGGACUGAGACACGGCCCAGACUCCUACGGGAGGCAGCAGUAGGGAAUCUUCCACAAUGGACGAAAGUCUGAUGGAGCAACGCCGCGUGAGUGAAGAAGGUUUUCGGAUCGUAAGACUCUGUUGUUGGAGAAGAAUGUAUCUGAUAGUAACUGAUCAGGUAGUGACGGUAUCCAACCAGAAAGCCACGGCUAACUACGUG
rnacentral:rRNA from 1 species